rnacentral:rRNA from 1 species
UACGUAGGGGCUAGCGUUAUCCGGAAUUACUGGGCGUAAAGGGUGCGUAGGUGGUUUCUUAAGUCAGAGGUGAAAGGCUACGGCUCAACCGUAGUAAGCCUUUGAAACUGGGAAACUUGAGUGCAGGAGAGGAGAGUGGAAUUCCUAGUGUAGCGGUGAAAUGCGUAGAUAUUAGGAGGAACACCAGUUGCGAAGGCGGCUCUCUGGCCUAACCCUGACGCUGAGGCGCAAAAGCGUGGGGAUCAAACAGGAUUAGAUACCCUGGUAGUCCCUGAGCGGG